GGAGCGGGACUACACAAGUAAAGGUCAUCCAGCACAAGCUCAUCCAGCAGAACCAGAGGCCAUAACUGAAGGACAGCGUCCACGAGAACUGGAAAAAUAACGCUCAGUACCACAGGGGAAAAAUGCCAGCCUACAUUGACAUUACUCUUCAGGACAGAAUCAAUGUCCAGUACCCAAGGUGUAAACUGCAGAGCCUGGAAAUGAAGUGCUGCAGCACCAUGGAGAAACUGAAGUCUGCUCUGGGAGAGCACCUGCAGAACGGCCUUCCAACGGCUGAAAUCUUGGAGAAGACAAUUUCCUUCCUUACCUUGAAGAAGGUCGCAGUGCUCCACAGUGGCUAUUCUAGGUGCUCCCGUGAUGUCCUGCGUCUGUUUCCCAGUACGGAUGAGGACUUGGAGGAGUUGUUCUCUGAAGAGUAGCCUUCAUUUAGGCAAGGAGUAACACAAAUGUCAUUGUGUAAGGUGCUAGUGGACCUUACUUGACCUGAUAUAAAACCCUUCAAUGCUGCUAAUAUAAAUACAAAUUUGUGCCUAUAGGUCUUCAAGAAGGGGUUCAUAGUAGCGUAUAUUAUGGUCUUAUUGCAUAAAAUAUGACAGAGAUUGACUUGAAUCUCUGAUUUGUAUGGAGCAUAUCUUUUUGUGUUAUUUUCACUUUUUUGCACUAUUUUGUACAUACGUAGUCAUUUGUAAUAUAAUUCUGUGUUUUUGCAUUCCCUUGAGCAUUUACGCAGUGCCUUUCUUUCUUAGUGAGAGAGUUUCCUACUCUGAUAAAGAGAAGAUAUAAUUUAGCAACCAGCAACUGUUGUACUUUUUAUGUACGCUUGUAUACUCCUCUAUGGAGUAAUUUUUGUAACAUAAAGUAUUGUGUUUUCUAUGUGAUCAUAUGUCUAUCUGUCUGAUAUAGCACAAUAGUUAACCUCUUAGACUGUCCUGAGAUGGGAUGAACGAGAUUGAUGAUGCUUCUGCUUUUUUUUCUUUUUGUAGAAUGUAGUAUGUGCCUUUACUCUUGUGUUGGUAUUGCAGUUGCUCUGGUAAUAUUUACUAGCAAAU
rnacentral:lncRNA from 1 species